rnacentral:miRNA from 1 species
CCAUGUACAUUUAAACAAAAUGGAGGCUCUUUAGAUUUAUUCAAAUGGCCAUUGGAAUAAAACUAAAGAGCCUUCAUUUUGUUUAAAUGUACAUGG